rnacentral:rRNA from 1 species
AUUGAACGCUGGCGGCAGGCCUAACACAUGCAAGUCGAGCGAGCGGCGGACGGGUGAGUAAUGUGUGGGAAACAGACCGAUGGAGGGGGAUAAAUACUGGAAAAGGUAGCUAAUAACGCAUACGAUAAGAUGUGACCAGAUGGGAUUAGCUAGUAGGUGGGGUAACGGCUCACCUAGGGGACGAUCCCUAGCUGGUCUGAGAGGAUGACCAGCCACACUGGAACUGAGACACGGUCCAGACUCCUACGGGAGGCAGCAGUGGGGAAUAUUGCACAAUGGGCGCAAGCCUGACGCAGCCAUGCCGCGUGUGUGAAGAAGGCCUUCGGGUUGUAAAGCACUUUCAGUGGGGAGGCGUUACCCGCAGAAGAAGCACCGGCUAACUACGUGCCAGCAGCCGCGGUAAUUC